UAUUUGUUUGCAAUCUGAAUUUGAUUUGAAUCCGGCAUAAAUCCAAUCAGAAUUUGAAUAUAAACGAAUCAAAUUUGGAUCUAUCUAUAUCCGAUCCAAUCUGUUUGCAGCCCUAAUUUUUCGUUUAGGGAUUUAUAUUCCCCCACAGUACAUACUCAUUUGUCACUGGUUUUUCUUUAGCUUGCUGGAAAGUUUUUUGAGAUGGAGAUUUUCAUCUGGGAGUUAUAUUUUUUCAUAUUUUUCUUAACAUUGUACUUCUAGAAUCAAUGAAAAAAUUUGUCAUUCCUAGAUAACUUUUCCAUAUGAAAUAAGGGAAAUGUUUCCAGCUUUGGAAUCUCGAAAUGAUGUUCCCUGUUUGGGUGAAUUUUGCAAGAUAUUUGUCCACCUUAAUUUACUUUCUGCUGAAUCAAAUACAUAGGAACAUAAGAAAAUGUUUUCCACGAGGACCAAUUUUUGCUAAAAAAAUCCUACUGAAAGUCGCUUAUUUCAGUAGUUUAUAUGAUUUACCUACACAGAUAUUAUGCUUCCCAUCAGAUUUUAUCUGUCUCAUCCAAAGAAUCCUACUGGUACCUGGUAGCUGUUUGCGUCUAUUUAGCCUUAUUAUUUCUAUUGCAUUGCACAGAUCAGUCACUUGAGGUUCAACCAUACAUUGUAAGUUUUUGAUUCGUAGACAUUUUGUGUCUGAGGAUGGUUUACAAAAAAGCUCCCUCCUACUUUGUUGCUUCUCCAAGCACUGCUUGUUGCUGCUGGUGUUCACCAGUGUGUUUAAAUUCUGGGUGCAGAGAUUGCAUUUCAAGUUUUCAACGACUCUGCCAAAUCUGAAUUAUUUUGCUUCUAUAUGUGCAGUUAAAUAAGUGCUCAAGUUUUAUUAUUUUUAUUUUUUAUUUUUUAAUCGUAGACACUGUCUUCUGUGAUGCUUACCUAAUGUCUUCUCUUUUUAUAGUAAUUGCUUUUCAUGUUUAAAAUAAAAAUUAAGAACACAUUGGAAUUUAUUUUUGCCUUUUAAAUGCAAGUAAAUUUCUUGCUCUUUCUCUUUUAUUGAUUAUUUUACCUUAUCACAGUUGGAAUUGAAAGAAACCAUCGGCUUUGCCUGGGUUGUCAUGGACUCAGGGGUCACUGUUUGAUGUGUCUCAAAGAGCCUUUUAGAUUGGGAUUUCCACUAAACAAGCUGGAGGGGCCUUGCAUGUGCAUGAAUAAAUCAGGAGGUUGAGAAAGAAAAGCCAUGUUGUACAUUGAUGAUUGAUGGUCUUUCUCAACAUUCAGGAGAGUCCAAUGCAUCAUUUCAACUGAUGUAUACUGAUAUAAGUUUGAAUCUACUCAGCCAUGUACUAGUUUGCAGCCUAACAGGAAAURCAUAUUAGCCUUUAUGAAAAGGGAAACAUACUAGAAGGGAUAAUUCUGAAGUUGGGGGAUAGAGCUAAGGCAACAUGAAGUCAUGAACAUUGAACAUGGAAUGAAGGGGGGGUUUCUCCUUUUUAUCUUAAAGCAUAUGAAUUAUACUUCU